CGCGGCCUAUCAGCUUGUUGGUGGGGUAAUGGCCUACCAAGGCGAUGACGGGUAGCCGGUCUGAGAGGAUGGUCGGUCACACUGGGACUGAGACACUGCCCAGACUCCUACGGGAGGCUGCAGUCGAGAAUCUUCCGCAAUGGGCGAAAGCCUGACGGAGCGACACCGCGUGCAGGAUGAAAGCCUUAGGGUUGUAAACUGCUGUCACGCUAUAGGAAUGACGCGUCGUUAAUAUCUGCGCGUUUGACCAAAGCGAGAGGAAGCACCGGCUAACUCCGUGCCAGCAGCCGCGGUAAGACGGAGGGUGCAAACGUUGUUCGGAAUCACUGGGCAUAAAGCGCACGCAGGCGGCCAGUUAAGUCAGGUGUGAAAGCCCACGGCUCAACCGUGGAACUGCAUUUGAAACUGACUGGCUAGAGGACGGUUGGGGUGAGUGGAACUCCUGGUGGAGCGGUGAAAUGCGUAGAUAUCAGGAGGAACACCAGUGGCGAAAGCGGCUCACUGGACCGUGUCUGACGCUCAGGUGCGAAAGCUAGGGUAGCGAACGGGAUUAGAUACCCCGGUAGUCCUAGCCGUAAACGAUGGGUACUAGGUAGGGGGGAUACCUAUGGUCUUCUCUACCGCAGCAAAUGUGUUAAGUACCCCGCCUGGGGAGUACGG
rnacentral:rRNA from 1 species